rnacentral:rRNA from 1 species
UGCAAGUCGAACGAGAACGCCUCAUGCUUGCUGAGGCAAGUAAAGUGGCGCACUGGGUGAGUAACGCGUGGGUAAUCUACCUCCGAAUUGGGGAUAACAUUUGCGAAAUGCGGUGCUAAUACCGAAUAAUAUCCUCAAGACUCAGGUUUUGAGGACCAAAGGUGGCCUCUACAUGUAAGCUACUGUAUGGAGAUGAGCCCGCGUACCAUUAGCUUGUUGGUGGGGUAACGGCCUACCAAGGCUGCGAUGGUUAGCUGGUCUGAGAGGAUGAUCAGACACACUGGAACUGACACACGGUCCAGACUCCUACGGGAGGCAGCAGUGAGGAAUUUUGCGCAAUGGGGGAAACCCUGACGCAGCAACGCCGCGUGAGUGAUGAAGGCCUUCGGGUCGUAAAGCUCUGUCAAGUGGAGAAGAAUCUGUCCGGCGAUAAUACCGAAGGGCAAUGACGGUACCGCUGAAGGAAGCACCGGCUAACUCCGUGCCAGCAGCCUCGGUAAUACGGGGGAUGCUAGCGUUAUUCGGAAUCAUUGGGCGUAAAGGGCGCGUAGUCGGUCUUUUAAGUCAGAUGUGAAAGCCCUCGGCUUAACUGAGGAAGUGCAUUUGAUACUAUAAGACUUGAGUAUGGGAGAGGGAAGCGGAAUUCCUGGUGUAGCGGUGAAAUGCGUAGAUAUCAGGAGGAACACCGGUGGCGAAGGCGGCUUCCUGGACCAAUACUGACGCUGAGGAGCGAAGGCGUGGGGAGCAAACAGGAUUAGAUAUCCUGGUAGUCCACGCAGUAACUGUGACACUAGGUGUAGCGGGUAUUGACCCCUGCUGUGCCGA